rfam:Exophiala dermatitidis NIH/TT8656 unplaced genomic scaffold supercont1.6, whole genome shotgun sequence.
GCUCGGAUGGUCUAGUUGGUUAUGACAUCGGUCUCAUAGUUACUCAUUUAUGAUCUUACGAAUUAACAAACGUAAGGAGCUAUCCGAGGGUCGCGAGUUCGAAUCUCGCUCUGAGCA